rnacentral:rRNA from 1 species
AGGGUUUGAUCAUGGCUCAGAACGAACGCUGGCGGCAUGCCUAACACAUGCAAGUCGAACGGUAACAGGUCUUCGGAUGCUGACGAGUGGCGCACGGGUGAGUGACGCGUGGAUAUCUGCCUAUUAGUGGGGGACAACUUGUGGAAACGCAAGCUAAUACCGCAUAAUCUCUACGGAGCAAAGCAGGGGACCCUUCGGGGCCUUGUGCUGAUAUAUGAGUCCGCGUCAGAUUAGCUAGUUGGUGGGGUAAGAGCCUACCAAGGCGAUGAUCUGUAGCUGGUUUGAGAGGAUGAUCAGUCACACUGGAACUGAGACACGGUCCAGACUCCUACGGGAGGCAGCAGUGGGGAAUUUUGCACAAUGGGCGCAAGCCUGAUGCAGCGAUGCCGCGUGUGGGAAGAAGGCCUUUGGGUUGUAAACCACUUUCAAUUGGGAAGAAGAGAUGAGAGUUAAUAACUCUCUGAUUUGACGGUACCUUUAGAAGAAGCACCGGCUAAUUUCGUGCCAGCAGCCGCGGUAAUACGAAAGGUGCAAGCGUUGUUCGGAUUUACUGGGCGUAAAGAGAUCGUAGGUGGUUUGUUAAGUUGGAUGUGAAAUCCCGGGGCUCAACCUCGGAACUGCAUCCAAAACUGACAGACUUGAGUUCGGGAGGGGUAAGCGGAAUUCCGUGUGUAGCAGUGAAAUGCGUAGAUAUACGGAGGAACACCUGAGGCGAAGGCGGCUUACUGGACCGAAAUUGACACUGAGGAUCGAAAGCGUGGGUAGCAAACAGGAUUAGAUACCCUGGUAGUCCACGCCCUAAACGAUGUCAACUAGCCGUUGCGGGUAUCGACCCCUGCAGUGGCGCAGCUAACGCGAUAAGUUGACCGCCUGGGGAGUACGGUCGCAAGAUUA